rnacentral:tRNA from 3 species
GCCUCGGUAGCUCAGCAGGUUAGAGCGAGCGCCUCGUAAGCGCUAGGUCGCGGGUUCAAAUCCCGCCCGAGGCU